AAACUGCGAAUGGCUCAUUAAAUCAGUUAUCGUUUAUUUGAUAGUACCUUACUACUUGGAUAACCGUGGUAAUUCUAGAGCUAAUACAUGCUAAAAACCUCGACUUCGGGAGGGGUGUAUUUAUUAGAUAAAAAACCAAUGCCCUUCGGGGCUCCUUGGUGAUUCAUGAUAACUUAACGGAUCGCAUGGCCUUGCGCCGGCGACGGUUCAUUCAAAUUUCUGCCCUAUCAACUUUCGAUUGUAGGGUAUUGGCCUACAAUGGUUUCAACGGGUAACGGGGAGUUAGGGCUCGACUCCGGAGAGGGAGCCUGAGAAACGGCUACCACAUCCAAGGAAGGCAGCAGGCGCGCAAAUUACCCAAUCCCGACACGGGGAGGUAGUGACAAUAAAUACUGAUACAGGGCUCUUUUGGGUCUUGUAAUUGGAAUGAGUACAAUUUAAAUACCUUAACGAGGAACAAUUGGAGGGCAAGUCUGGUGCCAGCAGCCGCGGUAAUUCCAGCUCCAAUAGCGUAUAUUAAAGUUGUUGCAGUUAAAAAGCUCGUAGUUGAACCUUGGGCCUGGCUGGCCGGUCCGCCUCACCGCGUGCACUGGUCCGGCCGGGCCUUUCCUUCUGGAGAGCCGCAUGCCCUUCACUGGGUGUGUCGGGGAACCAGGACUUUUACUUUGAGAAAAUUAGAGUGUUCAAAGCAGGCCUUUGCUCGAAUACGUUAGCAUGGAAUAAUAGAAUAGGACGUGCGGUCCUAUUUUGUUGGUUUCUAGGACCGCCGUAAUGAUUAAUAGGGAUAGUCGGGGGCAUCAGUAUUCAAUUGUCAGAGGUGAAAUUCUUGGAUUUAUUGAAGACUAACUACUGCGAAAGCAUUUGCCAAGGAUGUUUUCAUUAAUCAGUGAACGAAAGUUAGGGGAUCGAAGACGAUCAGAUACCGUCGUAGUCUUAACCGUAAACUAUGCCGACUAGGGAUCGGGCGAUGUUAUUAUUUUGACUCGCUCGGCACCUUACGAGAAAUCAAAGUUUUUGG
rnacentral:rRNA from 1 species